UACGUAGGGUCCGAGCGUUGUCCGGAAUUACUGGGCGUAAAGAGCUCGUAGGUGGUUUGUCGCGUUGUUCGUGAAAACUCACAGCUCAACUGUGGGCGUGCGGGCGAUACGGGCAGACUGGAGUACUGCAGGGGAGACUGGAAUUCCUGGUGUAGCGGUGGAAUGCGCAGAUAUCAGGAGGAACACCGGUGGCGAAGGCGGGUCUCUGGGCAGUAACUGACGCUGAGGAGUGAAAGCGUGGGGAGCGAACAGG
rnacentral:rRNA from 1 species